CAUCUUGUGCGAAUUCUACUUACUAUGCAGAAGGCUCUACAUGUUGUCCGUGCAACAUUAAUUGUAAACAUGGCACAUGCACAUCAGCUUAUCAAUGCACAGACGGAUGUGAAGAUGGCUUUUUCGGACCCAAGUGCGAGUUCCAAUGCACACAGAUCAACAAAGAAUGUUCUGUGUGUAGUGGUGAUUCUCUUGAGUCAUCUUUUUGUAACACCUGUAUUAAUGGAUAUUAUCCAGAUACAAACCGUACAUGUGUGCAGUGUUCAAGAUUUUGUGCGGAAGGUCAAUGUAAUAGUUCCAAUGGACAUUGUGAAAAGGGAUGCAAAGAUGGCUACUGGAAUCCAAAGUGCGACCGCAUUUGCAGUGAAAAGUGUGGAGUAUGCGACCUGAACAGUGGAAAUUGUUUGACUUGCUCAAUGGCAAGUGUUUUCGGUGCAAACUGCGAUAUGCCAUGUAGUAACACGUGUAAUAAUGCAUCAUGUCAUAUGAACGGAACUUGCAAAAGCGGGUGCAUUUCUGAUUACUUUGGACCAUCCUGUGAGCAGUCAUGUCCUACCAACUGUGCCCGUAGUGGAAACGGAACACGAUGUUCCCAUGCAACAGGUUUAUGUCUUUUUGGCUGCAACGAGGGAUUUAAAGGAGAAGGCUGCAUGGAAAUUCAUAAGUUAGACAACAAUAAGGAUACAGUACAAGUAGCAGCAAUUGGAGGAGGAGUGGCAGCUGCCGUGAUAGUCGUUCUUGUGGUGGUCGUUGUAAUAACAAUAUUCAUUCGGCGAAGAAAUCGAAUGCUGUACGACACUGUCGUAAGAGAUGCAAAUGCAGAUCGCCCAGAACAUACCUAUGACGGCAUAC